AAACGAUCUCUGUGACUGGGAGCCCUUAUACCUUUUGCAUAUUUUCAACUGAUGAGCGUUCAAACAUCGCAGACAAAGUGCGGUGUGAUGACAGCGUCAGUUCGUUUUAUAGCACAAUUGUAAAAUCGAACUUGACACCACCGUCACGAAGUAGUGCUCUUGCUACAUUACAAGCGAUCGAUCUUGGCAUAAAAGUCGUCGAGGGGUUAUUCAACUUUCUUGGGAAUUUAUUCGGAACAUCAACUGAUGAAAAUGGACCUCCACCAGAUCAAACUCCACCAAGAUUUACAUCCUGUCCGCAUCUUCCGGAUAUUACGAUUGGACGAGGAGAGACAACCGCCCGAGUGAACAUACCAAGGCCCACUUACACAGAUGACCGUGACGAACCAGGAUAUUGCCAGCUUAUCGAAUCCCCUACACUGAAUGGUCAGGAACUGCCGGCAGGAUCAUAUGUGGUCACCUUCACUGUUUCUGACAGCUCAGGAAAUAUUUGUGAUGGUGAUUGCGCAUGCAAGGUGUCAUUUGAGAUUGCCGG